UAGGGCAGAGGGAUUGUCUGCACUAGGACAGCUCUGUUAAAAAGGAGGACUUUUUUGUUUAUGGGAAGAUUUCCAUAAAGAUGAUCUUCUGAGUGAAGGCUGGGCUUUAAGACGAAAUGAGAGACAGUGUUGGUGGAAGAAGAGAACUUAAGGAAUUAAGAAAAAGAAGAGAAGUACAGGAGAUAUCAUUAAAUUAUAUAGUUCUCUCUUCGACUGUAGCCUUAUAACAGGGACAUUAAUAGAAUUAACAGAUGACAACCCAGCCCAUGAGCACCAGAUGCCACUGCUACUCCUUCACUUGCUCAUUCUGCAAAAGUUUGUAGAUCUUCUGCAAGGAGAACGGCAUUGUUAACUACCUACAGGAAGUGCGUCUUCUCUGGAGAAGUCAACAGUGAGAUGGGCUAAAUGAAGAAGGAGCAGCUUAUUGUCUUUGUUGGUUUUCUUUAUUUUCCUUCGAAGCAUCUGGGGGAAGAGGAAGACAAUGGAUGAGAUGGCGUAUGUUCUUUCCGCCCUGUGAAUGAAUCAGAUUUGAACUCCUAAGCAAAAUAGAAAAUGCAGAAAUGGUGCUCAGGCAAAACCUGAGAGACACCGGGCUCAAGCGACUCUCCUCUGAAGUCCAUCUGAUAAAGUCUGAAUUAUGGAUAAGUCCUUUCCCCCUCAAUAGUCUACUGCUUACUAAAGUGUAGCUCAAUGACUCUGUGGGCUUGGGUAAUCAGCAGGUAAGCAUAGCUAUGCCCAAUGAAGCAGGGGCUGUGAGAAGAAGCCUUGAAGAGUACCUAAAGUAGAAAAUAAGUGAACUUUCUCCUAAGCCCAUAGGAAACAUCACUAUCCUGCUGAAGGCAGGGCAGAGGGAACACAGCAGAGUAGGCUCAGAAUAACUGGGAUUUGGGCACUGAUAUUAAUGUCACCAUAUCUACACUUAUUGAUUGUUGAGAUUAUACAUUUGGCUUGAAACCACAGGAACUAAUAUACUCUAAAUAUAAGCUGAGAAAAAUUAAAAAUAACCACAACUACAACAGUAGAAAGAGAAAAUAUAUGAAUGCCAAGAAUCUAAUGUGUAAAUUAACUACAAGGGUUUAGAAGUUUUGGGCAUCUCCCUGGGGAUUAGCUGUGCUCAGUCUCCCCUCCAGGAAAUCAUUUACAACUCUAUGUCUGUUACCCCAAAAUGACUUAAAUGAAGUUUAGGAUAAGACAGAGACAAGUUCAGAACAAGACAUGGGUGAGGUUCAGAAGAAUGAAAUUGAAAUUAUAUGAAUUUCCAAUUGUUAGAGAUGCAUGAGUGAGAUACAGGUUUUCAAGUGUUGUGAUGUCAUACCAUAAAAUGAUUAUAAACAUUUAGGAAACAAUCUCUCCUGUGGAAUCAGGAAUCAUUACUAAAUAUCACAAUUAUAGUGGAGACGCUGAAGAAGUCAAUAUAUGUGUUCUGAAAAACUUGAUUAAAUAAACUUCAAGGACACAGA
rnacentral:lncRNA from 1 species